AGAGUUUAGUCCUGGCUCAGAACGAACGCUGGCGGCAGGCCUAACACAUGCAAGUCGAGGGUGAAGCUUUCUUCGGAAAGUGGAAACCGGCGGACGGGUGAGUAACGCGUGGGGAUCUGCCCAAAGGUACGGGAUAGCCUCGGGAAACUGGGAUUAAUACCGUAUGAUGCCUUCUUUCACUGGUUAUCAGAAUAGAGGAUUGGAUUUAUCCAAUCUUACGUUCUGAGCAUCGGUGAAAUGAAAGUUAAAGAUUUUCUGUCUUUAUGAUGGAUAUUGCCUUUGGAUGAACCCGCGUUAGAUUAGCUUGUUGGUGAGGUAAGAGCUCACCAAGGCUUCGAUCUAUAGCUGGUCUGAGAGGAUGAUCAGCCACACUGGGACUGAGACACGGCCCAGACUCCUACGGGAGGCAGCAGUGGGGAAUAUUGGACAAUGGGGGCAACCCCUGAUCCAGCCAUGCCGCGUGCGUGAAGAAAGGCCCUAGGGGUUGUAAAGCGCUUUCAACGGUGAAAAAUGAUGACGGUAACCGUAAAAAGGAGCACCGGCUAACUUCGUGCCAGCAGCCGCGGUUAAUCCGAAAGGUGCAA
rnacentral:rRNA from 1 species